rnacentral:lncRNA from 1 species
CGUACUUGAAAGAUAAGACACUAUCUAAAAACUACCAUAAUUCAAUUAUACUGACCUCUUAAUCCGAUCGAAACCAUGCUCUUUCACUUUCGAUUAAUCCAAAACUAAAAGCUAAACAAAAGACGGUCAAAGUUCCGUUUUUCUUUUCAUUGUGAAGUAAAGUACAUGUUGUAGACAGCUAUUACUCUGUUAAUUGUAACUAACACGCAAUACUACAUGUAUGUAAAAUUAUAAAAAGUUUACCAAUAAAAUCCCCUGGUUUUAUUGGUAAUUAACCAUACAGGGCAGAACCUUAAUGCCAUUGUUGUAACAUUAAGGAGAUUUGUUAACAACUAUUAUAGUAAAAUAAAGUAUCUGAAGUUGAAAAAAAAAAAAAAAAAAAAAGA